rnacentral:rRNA from 1 species
AAUUGUCUAGCCUGCUCUGUGACAAAAAGUGUUAAAUAGCCGCGGUAUUUUGACCGUGCAAAGGUAGCAUUUUCAUUAGUUUUUUAAUUGGAAACUUGUAUGAAUGGUUGGACAAAGAAAAGACUGUCUCUUUUAUUAAAAUUGAAAUUAACUUCUAAGUGAAAAGGCUUAGAUUUUCUAGAGGGACGAUAAGACCCUAUAAAGCUUGAUAAGUUAAAUAAAUUAGAUGGAUUUUUAAAAUAAAAGUAAAUUUAGUAAGCUUAUUUUCUUGGGGCGACAAGGGUAUAAAAUUAAAUUUCUGCUAUUAAGGUUAGACAAUUAUAUUUGGUUGGAUUGUAAUUGAUCCUCGCUAUGGAUUAAAAGAUUAAGUUACUUUAGGGAUAACAGCGUAAUUUCUUUUAAGAGUUCUUAUCAAAGGAGAAGUUUGCGACCUCGAUGUUGAAUUUUUAUGUCUUUAUAGUGCAGAAGCUAUAAAAGAAGGUCUGUUCCUCCUUUAAUUUUUUACGUGAUCUGAGUUCAGACCGGA